AAGUGGUUUUUAUCCGAUUUUGUGAAUUUCAUGGAAAAUGAAUUAAAUGAUUAAUUUUUUGAUUUUAUAAACCAAAUGUGAUUUAAUGAAAUGAUUUCAUAAAAUUGUUUUAAAAUUGAAUAAUGGCUUUGAAAAUAGAGUAAUUGGAGACCAUUUGAUGUAUUGUGAAUUUAUGGUUCUAAUUGAUUGGCUUAUGACAAUAUUGGCAUGAAUGGCUAAAUUGGUAUUUGUGUUGAAAUGUAUAAACUGUUGUUUGCCUUGAUAGGCUGGAUAAUGAUAAAAUUGCCAUGUCAUGCUGUUGAAUUUUUAUUGUAUGG
rnacentral:lncRNA from 1 species